rnacentral:rRNA from 1 species
UUUAGAGGAAGUAAAAGUCGUAACAAGGUUUCCGUAGGUGAACCUGCGGAAGGAUCAUUAUUGAAAUAAACCUGAUAAGUUGUUGCUGGUUCUCUAGGGAGCAAUGUGCACACUUGUCAUCUUUGUAUCUUCACCUGUGCACCUUUUGUAGACCUGAUUAUCUCUCUGAAUGCUUAUAGCACUCAGGAUUGAGAAUUGACUUCUUGUCUCUUCUUAUAUUUUCAGGUCUAUGUUUCUUCAUAUACCCUAAUGUAUGUCUAUAGAAUGUAAUUAAUGGGCCUUUGUGCCUAUAAACCUUUACAACUUUCAGCAACGGAUCUCUUGGCUCUCGCAUCGAUGAAGAACGCAGCGAAAUGCGAUAAGUAAUGUGAAUUGCAGAAUUCAGUGAAUCAUCGAAUCUUUGAACGCACCUUGCGCUCCUUGGUAUUCCGAGGAGCAUGCCUGUUUGAGUGUCAUUAAUAAUAUCAACCUUUUUGGUUGGAUGUGGGUUUGCUGGCCUUUUGAGGUCAGCUCCCCUUAAAUGCAUUAGCGGACAACAUUUUGCCAACUGUUCAUUGGUGUGAUAAUUAUCUACGCUAUUGACGUGAAGCAAAGUUCAGCUUCUAAUAGUCCAUUAACUUGGACAACUUUCUAUUUUAUUAAUGUGACCUCAAAUCAGGUAGGACUACCCGCUGAACUUAAGCAUAUCAAUAA